UGUGGAAGGGGAGUUGUGCCG
rnacentral:miRNA from 1 species